GUAAUGGUUGGAUAGCCUAUUGAAGUAAUUUAACUGAAUAAUACCUUCUGGUAAUAUUUGAUACACCCACUAAUCCCACUCAUAUAUAUUUUCAAUGCUAUCACAUACUUUAGCAAUUUAUUUUGUUGGACGCGGUGUAUAUCCUAUCAAGCUGGCUUUAUUGGACACAGAAAUAUUUAUAACAUAAUUGUUUGUGCUGUCACCAAGUUAUGUUAAACGAAUACCAACAGUAUUCUAAAACCAUACCUCAUAUUGUCAAUACAUUGUUGACGUUAGCCAUUGUAUUUGUUCUAGUAAUCAUGAACCUUAAUUCCAUGGCAGGGGCUUGAGUCCUAGAUUGAUCAUGUAUAUCACUCAGGGAGCACUUUUCUUCGCAUUUUAUGAAUCUUUCAAGAGGGUGUUUUCUUUAGAUAUCCCGCAGCCUAAAACAGAAAUGGUUCCAUAUGAACAUAAAAAGGAAGAUGAUCGUGCAACGCUGCCUUCACCAAGCUAACAAAAGAAAGAUCAGUUCAUUUGGUUCUUUCAACACUUCAUAGAAAGAUGCAGCCUGACUAUUCAUCGAGUUGUGAACUGUGUGCCAGCUUGUCUCUCUCAGGAAUUUCGCCAUACAUUAAUUCUUUUGGUGUUUUUUACUAGUACAUACCAUUCUUUUAUUUAUGAUAUUAAUUUUGGUUGGUGUCUUCCAAACAGGGAGCAGUAGGAUUGAGGAUGAGAGUGUAUGAUCGUAUUGUGUGCUUUGUGAACUGUCACUUUUAUAACGCUCCAAUUUUCUAAAUCGAAACGUUACACGAUGCUUAUGACCUCGAAGGACUACAAGCUAACCCAUGACUGAUAUUUGUACCUGUAUACUGCAUAAAAGACUAUAAAAAUGUGGAAAACAUGAACUAGAAUUCCAUAAGGUUCAAUACUAAUACAUAACAAAAAAUAUGGUAUACAAUACCAAAACAAAUCUGAAAUAACUAUCUGACAUGCUAUAGUUUAAAAGUCUCUAAACUGUCUGAAUAAGGAGUUGAUGGGACAUUUCCCCAACUAACUCUAUCUACUAAAAUAAACUGAAAAAUAAAAAUAGUAACAUAAUCAAAUAAUAUCAUCCUCGAAUGAUGAGGACUCACUGCUAACUCUGUCUGCUGAAACCUGGAAUACUACUGACGCUCUGGAUCUCGUACUUCUAAACCUAUGGUAUAAGACACCAUAGCACAAAUACGUCAGUACUUUGAAUGUACUGGUAUGCAAGUGAGGUAAGCUGAAUGCAAUAGGGUUCAUAUGUAUAAAAAAUACUAUUUAACUGACUAACAUGAAUGUGAGAAUACAUACAUGCAUACGUAACUGUAACUGACAUCGUGAUAGGACUGAAUACCAAGUUCUAACUACUGAGUUUAUUGAUAUUGACAUCUGAGUCACUGAUGAGUGAGAAAGAAUGAUAUUAUAUUAUUGAAUACUGAGGGACUGAUACUAUGUUACUGAUAUAUGAAUAACUGUGUCUAACAGUUCUGAUUAUGAAGAACUGGUCUGGUUGACUGUACAUAACAGUUCUAAAGCUGAAUACUGAUAACAUGAGUUCUGAUAACUGAUAGCAUGAGUGACUGUAUCUGACAGUCCUAAAUCUGAUGGAACUAGCUGAGUUCUGUACUAUAUCUAAGUAACUGAAUUUGAGAUCAGUCAUAUCUAGCGGUGAUCUUUAAAUCUGAUGAUACUGAUAAGAAAGAUGAUUUAACUUAGUCUGAAAUUAGUCCUACCUUGCGGGUGAUCUCUGAAUUUGAUUAUGCUGAUAAUGAUUGAACAAAGUUGAGAUCAGUCUUAUCUAAUGGGUGAUCCCAAAAUCUAUUUAUAAUGAUAAGAAUUGACUGUAUUGGACAGUCCUGAAUCUAAGGAACUAUCUGAGUUCUUUUAUUGAGACUGAGUUCACUAUAUCUGACAGUCCUGAAUUCAUAACUGAAACUGUGGGAUGUAUUCAUCUAACCAACAUGCCUCAUACUAUGCUAACUAGGGUCCAACCUGUAACCCCUGUUGGAAGGGUGUCAAUACCGCACCACUGGUAAAGACAACUAUUGUGGAGUCAGUCCUAAUCUAGUGGGUGACCCCUGGGAUCAGUCCUAUGCAUUUAAAUGUGCUAACGGGUGAUCCCUGAGUAUGUCAGUCCUAUCUAACGAGUGACAUCUCAUACCUACGCUGGCUACGUAGUUCUGAAACUUAGGGAUUGCUUCUAGGGAUCUCAGUUCCUACCUAGUGGGUGAGUCCCCGUCCCUAGGCUUGCUCGGUGUUGAAUCCUACUCCCAUCUGAAAGACUCUGAACUGAUUAACUGAACUGAACUGAUACUAGUGGUAUUUUCUAGCAGAGCUAAAUUGAAUUUACUGAGUUCCGUUAACUGAUGGAAUAUACUGAGUUCUGAGGACUGGCUGAGAGUACUGUAGUUACUGAGAUUUAUUGGGAAUACUGAAAUAACUGAGAUUACUGAGAUUUCUGAGAUAUCGUGAGUCACAUGACUGACUGAGUUCCAUGGAUCAUGGCUUGACUGAGAGUAUCGUGAAAACAUGACAUGGCUCUAGGCACACAGCUAAAUUGGCUGAUACAAGUACCCCCAGGAAUCGAUGGAAAGAAAAUGACAUAGCAUAGCUUACUUGAACACAUGACCAAUCAACACAAUUCAUAAUUCAUCUAUUAAACCACUUCAUCAAAGAUGUGAUAUGCAUAAGCUUGUACACACAUGGGGAUUUCAUAAUAUCAUGCUAGUUAGGCACUUUUCCUUCACCUAGGCAUUUAAUCAAACAUAUUAUAGGCAUAGUACAUGUAAACAACAUUAUACAACAAACAAAUAUCAUGAUUCAUCUCUGAUUUCAUCAUUCAAGGGUUUAGUCAUAAGGUUGCAUGAAUCUAUAGCUAUAAUAAUUAAACCCACGUAGAAAUUCUCACCCAACAUGGAUUUAAAUUCAAAUUGAUCAUUCUCAUCAUAAACAAAACAAACCCAACAUGAAAUUCAUAAAGAAAUCCAUAAACUUGAAUUUAGAAAAGGGAUUCUUGGGCUUCAUGGACGAAAUGAGUCCAUGAAUGAACACUAUGCAUACCUUAAAGCUUGAUCUUGAAAGAGAUCUAAUGUUUCUUGAAGGUUCUUAAAGAAAUUCUUAGGCUUGUUCUUGAUUUUUCUUGACUAGGGUUUAACCCCUUUUGGGAGAGAAUGUUCUUAUUCUUGAGGAGAAUGAGAAAAUAAUGGGAUAUAGCCUUAUCAGGGCUUUAAUACCAUGUUUAGAGUAAGGGAAAAAGACCAAAAUACCCCUACGAAAUUACUUCCCAGUUGCUGAAAUUAUCAGCUGACGACCAAGGCUGAUAAACUGUCAGAUCUGUGAUAGCCCAUCAGCCCAGGUCAUCACUUGGGAGCUGGAAUUGAUGGGUUUCUGUCUAGGCCAGAUGACAUGGGCUGAUAAGCCGUCAGAUCUGUGAUAAGCCGUCAGCUCAUGUCGUCACUCAGUUGUCAGGAGGACAUGCUGGAGUAAAAUGGGUAUAACUUUUUGCUCCGAUAUCGGAUUUGGGAAAAAUUGGUAUCGUUGGAAAGAUAAUUAAAUUAUCUAUCUUUUGGUGGGUUAUAAGCUCAAAAAUUCGUAGUAUAAAUAUAUAUAUGCUCAUUUGAAGUUGACUAUGGCAAUAUCCUUCCCAAGAAUUUAAUCGGUAAGGAAUGUUUUGAUUCAUUUGAUAGAUGGGAGUUAUUUGAAGCCUUAAUAUACAUAUAAAUUACUCAUAAAACUAUAAAAAAACCAUGAUGUACUAUGCAUGAGCUUGAAACAUGGCGCUAAUAUUGGUUUGGAUUUUUUGGGGUAUUAUAACUUUGCUGCACAUUUAGAAGUUGUUGGUCACCGGAAUGCUGAUUUUGACCAUGUGUAUCAAAGUAUGAUCUUUAGUCGCCAUCAAACUUUCUUAAUGCUGCAGCUGGUAUGGUUUCAUACCUAUUCUCAGCUUGCUUACUUGUUUGCCUGCUCUAUGUAUUUAAUAUGGAUUGCUUAUUGUUCUCGGUUGCCACUGUUCCUUUCUAUUACAGCUGGUGUCUCAUCUGCUAUUAAAAUACUUUGCAGUGCAAAUAUACGUACUUAAAUUGGUAAAUUUGAAUGGCUAGUCUAUAAUAGUCUUCCUAAAAUAUUUGUUUCCUUCUUCGGAGCAGUAUAUUUCAAUUGGUACAGAUAAAAAACAUUGAACUAUGUUUAUCAGGGUGCGUUUAGCUCUGCAGAAGCAACUCCCGCGAUAUCUAAGGCAGAUAUGGUUGUAUUUUUUGGUGACUUGAUCUAUCGGCUUGAUGGUAUUUCUUAUAAUGAAGUAAAAGAUUUUAUUUCCCAAAGGAGCUUUGAUUGGCUGAGAGAGAGGGACCAGUUGCGUACAGAUAUGGAUGUUGGGAAUGCCUUCUAAGGAAUGUGUGAAGCAGUCAUGAGAUUUUCUCCAACAUACAAAUUUGGAAGACAUCAAACUGGCUUAGCAGGUUACGACUGGUGAAAAAAAGUGAAUUCCUGCCUGGUGUGAAAGAAUUUUGUAUCGUGAUAGCCGUUCCACUUCAGCUUGCACAUGCAGCUUAGAUUGUCCUGUCAUCUCAUCAGUUCUUCAGAAAGUUUUCCAUAUGUUUCUAUGGAUUGAGGUAGCUUAGAUUGUUCUGUCGUCCGUUCCACUUUUGGUUUCCCUCGUUGGCUUGAGGUGUCCAAACUGAAGAAAGAAAUGAAGAAAGUGAUGAAGACAUUGACAUUACUUGAGAAGAUUUUUGGGUUGUGGAUAAAUGCUCUAAUAUCAAUAGUUUUUUGUUGAAUUUCUUCUAACUUAUCGCGACUCGAACUUGCUAGUAUGUAAAAACUUGACUAAUCAUUUGGACUUGAUUACAGUUUGCUUUUGGGUUUAAAUUACUAGCUUGUUACAUAUUUUGAAUUAUGGGAUUAUUAAUGAAUGAUUUUGUGUUGUGAUGUGUAUAUAUUGU